CACUCAAAAAUUUGCAAAUAAAUUAGACAAGCGAGUGGCAGUGAAAUUUCAAAUGCAAAACGAUGCAUGGCAAUGCGUGUGGGCGUUACAAAAACGAAAAAAAAACCUUGCAUCCCCCUAAAUCUGCUUUAUUUGCACCAUACCAUGACAAGAAGAAAAAUCCAAACCUAGCCAACAAACUGUCGGUUGUUCAUUUUCAUUUCGACAGUAUUUAGUUAUUCUGUAUUUAGUUAUCCCAUGCAUUUGCAACUAAAACCACAACAGCAAAAAGUUCACUGAAUUGGCUUGAGUUGCAAUAGCAGAUGCAGAAAGCAAUUUGCAGAAUAAUAUUUUCCUAUUUAUACACGUAUUUAUUAUCUGUCAAAAUUUAAGUUUUAUGGCUUAGAGCUGUUGAUUCUAGUGUCUUCUGCCAUCUAUGGUAUUAUUUACCCUUUUAUACGGCAAUAAAUCACGUGACGAGGUGGCCGAGAGGUUAAGGCGUUGGACUGCUAAUCCAAUGUGCUCUGCACGCGUGGGUUCGAAUCCCAUCCUCGUCGACGGUACUUUUUUGUUUAUUUAUUUUUCAAUUUUAUAAAUAUUACCAAGUACGCAAAUCCGAAAGCUAAAACAAUUGCACAUUUGCUGGUGUUUAUUUACUAAUUAAUGAUUCAAUAUUCCAUUGCAGAGCGGUGAGUUCAUGAAAUCAAUUGCAUUUUUUGAUCUCUGAAUAUAUCUUAGUCCUUUGGGCUGUCAUCAAUUAAUUAAUGUCGCUUUAACUGGGCAAAAAGCUAUUAAGUAAUCUGACCCAGAGGAUAUAAAUUUAGUUUGGUUCGCUGCUCUCUUGAUUUUAGUAGGCUUAUCGCUUAUUAAAUUAUGCAGAUAAGAGCCGCUUUUGGUAAUUUCAUUUUUUUUUUUUUUAGAAAAGCAAUAAGAAUAGUAAUAGUACAUUUUCGUUGAUGGUUUGAUUAAAUGUUCAUGCGUGCGGAGUUUUUAAGAACUUUUCCCAAACUUGCCAUAAGCGUUAAAUGGCCCUGCACUUUUGGAGAUAGCUGUGGUUUUAUUACCCUUAUUGGAUUACGACGUUAAUGCACUUAACGCUGCCUUUUUGCAUAAAUUUAAUAUUCGACGCAUUAUUAAUUGACUCACGCCGGAAAAUGGGGAAAAAGCCAACAGCUGUGGCCGCUGGCCUAGUAAAUUAUGAUUAAAAUCACCCUCACACUUACAUUAACCCACAUACAAGUGCGCCUUUGCAUGUGUACGUAUAGGUAUACAAUGUAUAAGUAUAUGCAAUUAAUGGUGAUGGUGUGUGGUUAGAAGGGGUUUAACGCAGCUCAGCCGCAACCUUAAUGCAGCUAAGAGGGUUUUCCCCACGGAAGUUAAUUUAAAUGGGAGACUGUGAAGAUUAGUUCCGUUGCAGACUUUUCCCAAUGGAAAUUCGUGGCUCUUUUGUACGGAUUUCUGAGAAGAAGUCUAAUUACGCACUUGCACCAGUUUCCCUUCAAUUGCUAGUGGUUAUGAACAACAUUUUGGCAUUGAAUUUAAUGCGAUUGUUAACUGAAAUUUUCCUCUCAGCAAAAAUAUAAAUCAUAUUAAUAUUAGAUUAAAGUAAAGUAAGUAAACUCAUUUCGGACUUAUUUCUGAGAUGAUUUAUUACAUGCCGUAUGUAUGUAUGUGAUAAUUUGCUUAUCACGUUUUCUUUUACUUUUGCGGAAUUUCACGUUAUAAAAAAUUCUUUAUAUAGUGAAGAUUAUUUUAUGGAAUUUAUUGCAUGUCAAGCUGCGUUUGGCUCGUCACAUAGUCGAUUGUUCAGCCAACUAUCGUGGAUCAUCUUAAAACGCCGUAAAUUUCCAAAUCUUUCAAUCUAUAAAUUUAAAAUGACUAAACGGAUAAAUAUUGAAUGUCAAAGCCUAUUUCCAAACCCCUCUCUCAAUCCAAGCGACUCUUCAACCAUUUUGGCAAUAAAAAUCCAUCUAUAGCUGGCCUGAAUUUUGGGAAAAAACAAAAAACAAUCGCUCAGAACAAUAGACCUCAACCAUUUGCAUUCUACACCCGGCUUUAUGCGUUUCGAAUUUUCGAUUUAUUUUGGCCAAGAGGCAGUGAGUAAAGUGGAAGCACAACAAAUGGCUCAAUACUUCACAUUGAAAUAUGUUAAUUAUCAAAAACUUGCUGUUGAAACACCCCAAUAUGGAUUAAUCUCGGAAAAAAUCUUUGUUCUCGUUUCAACUGCGAAAUCAAAGCAACGAAACUAUCUCGUAAAACUAUUUCAACAGCCGUAAUAAUAGGAAAAACAAAGAGAAAUGACAACAAAACAGCUAAAUGUACGACAUUUAGUGUACAAGAAGCAGGCAAAGGCUAAAAUUACAAUUGAUGGGGUACACUACAUCUAAAAUGGAGUGUGUACGGGUACACUGAGCAAAUGUUUUAUGCUAAAGUGCUUGAUAAGUUGAACUCUCUUGUAUAAUUUCAUACCUCGGUUAUGCUUUUAUAUACACCAAAUAGUAUUGCGUAUUCGUUAAGGAAUCCAUAAUCACUAUCUUUUGUUUUAUUCUUAGCUAAUAUCCGUAUAAAAGUAACAAUACACAACUAUAUUUUUCGUUAGUAUUUGCAUAUCAAAAUUUUGAUUUUCCCCAGUGUUUGGGAAUAACAAACGAAAGAGUGGAGACCACAGAGACAACAAGCGAUUUUCAUAUUUUUGGCGCAACGAAAACGCAGGAAACGGGAAGCAGAGUCCAGAGAUGGAGAUAGAGACAGCAACAGAGGCGGUGAAAGAGACGGCUGCAGAGGCGGAGAACAAAAGGACCAGAAGCCAUUGCCCAUGGCGGAAGAAAGUGGCAGAAUGGUUAGCAACUGGGAGCAGGAGUUGGGGGAUUCAGACGAGUGGAAGUGGAAAAAGCGAACUCUUGUCGCCCGACAACAUUAUUUCGGCUAUUUUGUAUACCCUUGUUGCCCUGGGGCCUUGUCGUUUACAUGCAUCGAUGAACUCUGACCUUAUAUACCAUUCGGCAUGCCUCCUUGCAUUUGAUUCUGUUUAUGUGGCUUACUCUUAAAUAAUUGUCAGUAACUACAAAAAACGGCAUUGCAAAAAAUGUAUGCUAUAGUUUUUAGUGAUUUCUUACAAACUAUAUAUAUAUUUAUUUAUUUAUUAUUAUUACAUGCUUAAGCUAUGCCAACAGCCAAAAGAGUAUUUAAGUCUCUUUCAUUUUUUUCUUCGUUUUUCCAGCUGUCAAACAUUUAGAAUACUUAGUCUCGCAUUAUUUUUCUUUUCUGUAUUUUUAAAACAAGAAAUGGCGCUACCAAAGACAACAGUCAAGAGCAGCUGCGAGCUUUGUGUCGUCCCAUUGACGUUAUAAUCAAAAAUCAUAUGACGUUUUUCGUUGGCAUACCAUACCAUAUAGCAUAUAGCAUAUAACCAAAGACAGCCAAAGUUCUUGAGGCAGAACGAAGGAGGACAGCACAAAGGCACUGGCGUAGCCAAGUCCACAGCCAUCAAUGUAGGUCAGUCCGAAAAUAAAUUCGAGAAGCGAAAUCAAGUAAAUAGACUCGCAUAAACACAAGGGAAAGAAUGGUGAUUACAUCAAGUGAUGAACCGAAAGGAUACCGAAUUUUGUACAUUUCACAUCCAAACACGCUAAUAGGCAAUGUUUUUGGGCAAAAAUACGACCGCCUCUCGAUUUACCACGGACAACAUAGCAGCCACGCCCAUCGGCAACGCCUCCAGGAAACUCCCUACAUUUUCUCGCUCUAUUUUCCUUUCACAACUCACGCAAACUUCCGGCUCAAAACUGACGGCCUCCCAGCGACAAAAAAAGCCGAAAAGCAAAUGCAAUUUUGGUGCAACCGCCACCAGAAGAAUAGCAACAAACACGCCAUCGCUGCCAUCGGACAUUUGGGUCAGGAAUUGUGGGCACUUAAUCAGCACUAAACAGGACCACGCCCACGGGAUCCAAUUCCCGGGAAAUUGGGUCUGGGUCGAGCUUCUGAUGGCGUGCACGCCACAGGACCUACACAGAAAUACAUCCUUGACCUUUUUAAUGCCAGUUUUUUUUCGGGGGGCUGCCAUGUUGUGCUACAGGGUAGCAUUGUCAUGUACAACGUUUUGAGGCACAUUUGCGGGUGGGGGUGGCAGAAACGAAACGAGAAGUGCGGCAAGCCGGAGGAGGGGAACUAUGUUGAAAUGUCAUUAACGCCAGCAGCGAGAUUUCGCAGGUGAGUUGCCAACAAACGUGUCGCCACUGAGGCGUGGGAUCUCUACUCUACACUGCGCAAAAAGUUCCUUCUAAUAUCUACGUAUGUUUGCUUACACCAUAUUUAUAAUUUGAAAUAUCCAAUCCAAUAAAUACAGUUUUAAAAAUGCUACGUGCUAUGUAGCUACAUCCUUGUUGUCUAUUUCUAUAUUGCUGAUUCCAUGAGCUAUUUCCUUAAUUUCCAAUGCAUUUUCCUUGUUUUUGUUUAGUUUUAAUUUCUCUUAGUGUACUUGCUGGUUGCUGCAGCGCUUGACGUGUUGAUUUAGUGGCAUAUUUUGCCAGAAAUGAGGCACAGACAUCAGAAGGCAGAGUCUGAGGCCGCUGAGCCAGCUGAGGCGACAACCAAACGUCGUCUAAAUGUGCGCCAGUUGGCUGCAUUGCCAGCCUUGACCGAUAUUCGUGCGCUAAACACAAACACAAAGGCAUUAAGCAUACACAAACAGGCGAGAACACAUUGGCUAACACACACACACCCCCAGCGGUGUGACGAAAAAGUGGCAUAAAAAUGAAAGAAAAUGGGAAAUUCUUCAUUUGGUUUCAAAAUUUUGUAUUCCCUAUUUGUGCAAAUCGAUAAUAAAAAGAACUUAUUUUGUAUCAUGCUUUCUUUUUUUUGUGUAAGGAAAGUUUUUCGUAUGAAAGCCUUUAGUUUUAUAGAAUCUUCGUAAUGUUUUAUAGAAUCUUAGUAAUGUAAUCAGAUUUGCUCUGUUUCAACUUUUAUUGCAUUAAAUAUCUGCAACGCAGCUGAUUGCUUGUUAAACCGACCGCGUUAUUAUCAGAUUGUGCAAGGUAAUGGUGGUAUUCAAAUUUUAAGCUGCAAGGAAAGCUUCUUUGGACUCUCAGAUCGAACAAAAAAUCGAACAAUAAAAAGUGCCCAUAAAAGCGUCCUGAAAGGAUGUGCAGCAUCCAGGACAAUCGUUCAAGUCUUGCAACUCAGAGGCGACUCUUAACCGAAAAUCUCUCUCGGAAAAUUCUCCAUCGCACACACAUGCAUAUUUAAUGCACUCACUCACAGGCACACUUUCCUCACUCACACAGGGCCAUAAAGCGUUUUAACAAAUGGCAUCAAAUUGAUUUUGCCACGCUAAGCAUUUUAGGAUUUUCAGCGACAGAGGCGCCUGCACUUUCCCACCCAUUUUCCUAAAAAACCGCAAGGCAAUGGCAAAAGUCUGCAGCUUUUUGAUUGUGUGUGUGUGCGAGUUUUGCAUAUUUGCUACACUGUUCAAAAUUGAGGGGAAGGGAAAGGGUAAGUGGAUGUGCAGGGCUCAGGAAAAGUUUUUCCCCCCUCGAAUCGUUGGCCCUUUUUAAAUUAUUUUAUUUAUAUUUUUUUGCUGUGCCAGGAAACCCACAAUAUAACCCAUAUAGCCCAAUACAUAUGUACGUGUUUAUACAACUAUAUCUUACCUAUACAUGUACAUAUAUAUAUAUAUUUAUUUAUGUGUGCUGGUUGGGUUGGCACACAUAUGCGCAUCUUUUUUUGAUGAGCCUGCACGGCAAAGUGGCUGCAUUUUUACCCAGAUUUAAAAUGAUUGCAUAUGAUGGGAAGCCGGAAAGGAGGAGAGGGGUGACAACCCUGGCCGGGAUGUGCUGCCCCUUUUUCCACCCAAUAUGUUGCGCUUUUCGGCGCCACCGCCUUUUCCUGGUCCACUGAAGCAGCCAUUACCAUGAUGCCUCCACUUCUGCAUCCACCACCACCACCUUCAUCACCCAUCGUGUGUUGGCUUCGCAAAUAGUUCUGCAAACUCUGUAGUCCCCCGCUUUUUUGGUGUUAAGCCCCGAAUAGGUUGGCUUCUCCGGAUGGAAUGUAAAUAAAGUAUUUGCGGUCACAGUGAUGGGACAAAAACCAUGACACAUGUACGUAAAUGAACUGCCAAGGUGUUUCCUCAAUCAGCCCGAAAAAAGUUUAUAGGAGCUCUUAAAACGAAGCUGGCAAAAAUUUGAAUAUCCUAUGGACGUAUUCUAAUAAUUCUGUUGAUCAAUUUUGUUGGUUGGAGUAAAAAUCCCAUUUGCAUAAUAUCAAUAUUUCCGCUCUUCUUGUCGUAUUUUCAUGAAAUCAAUUACGUUUUGCAGCUAUUGCAGAAUGCAAAUCGAUUGCAAAUAUUGGACAAUGCCUUCAAGAACUCGGAUAGCAACGCUUCCCUUUCAUAACAACCGUUUGAGAUGCAUUUCGCUCAAUAUCCUUUCAGUUGCCAUCCACAUUACAAAUUCCAUUCGCGCGGUACGCUGUAAUCCCCCUCUGGCCGAUGGGGAAACCCAUUUGGAGAAUCCACAAUAAAUACUUCUAAACGUUUCGGUUGAGAAGCAAAGCGAUUUUGUCCCACCCACGUGACCUCAACCCCCAGCAUUACUUAAUAAUGCGCAUAAAAAUGCAUUCCCAGCAUCAUCGGGUGGUCCAUGUCCAGCAGUACACAGAGGAAAAAAAUCUACCCUUACUGCAAAGGGUUUAAGGUAGGAGCAGUUAUGGGAAACUUUAUGUUUUAACUAAAGGUAGUUAUGGGAAACUUUAUGUUUCAAUUUGGUUUAGUUUGUUAUAGAAUAUAUAUGCUUAUUUCUUAUUAAGCUAUUGUAUAUUUUUGGCAGUGUAUUUACCAAGACAAGGCACUGACAAAUGUGUGUGAUGAGAGAAUGGCAUGGAGGCGAGCAGGAUUCAAUCCAGCUCCUUGAACUUUAUGGCCAGGAUAAAAGCAACAAAAGACAUGGCCCCACAAAGGCAUGUCGAUGGCUGGCUGCACAUCCCUUCCAGCUUUCAUCCGAAUGCAUCCAGACAAACAAACACCCGCAAACGCAAACACACCUCCUCCGUGCAAACAGCUCAUCCGAGCGACAUGCAUUCUCCUUCUUUACCGCUUGACUGACAACGGACGGCGGCAAAGUGCAUUAAGACCUACAUUCGUUACGUAACCGAAUACAGAAGUUCCCAUUGCUAAAGAGUUUUACAAAGAAAUUAUUAUUGUUUGUUAAAUUUAAAGGAUACUAUGCAUGAUAUCAACAGCAGACUUAGACGAAUAAUUUGUAGCAAAAAUAUAUUUUUUAAAAAACAUGAACCUCAUUCCAUGACCCAAUUGAUUCGAAAAACAGAAAUACCCCUUUCCAGAAACACCAUCAGGAUCUACAAGAGAAUUUAUGUGUGGCUAUGUACGUGGGUAACAUUGUGGAUUUCAUUAAACUCGCAAGCAGCAGGUGAAUCAGGAAAAGCGGGGCGGCAAAGAAAGGCGGGAAAUUCAUGAGGGAAAUGGAGGAGUUGGUGGAGCUUGGAGCAGCUACUCAAGUCGACAGCAACUCCCAGCGGCACCUCAAUGAGCUAACAAAGUGCAAAGGCUGCCAGGUGAAAGAUCCUCUGGAGAACUGGAUACUUGCUGGCGAAGGACAGAUGGCAUGGCUCCAGAGUGUGUUUGUUUUCAUGCUUCUUUUGUUUGUUUGGAUGGGUUUUUGCGGAGCGAGAUGAUUGCAAUGUGGAAUGCAAAGUGCUUUCUUUCCACUGCAAUAUUAAACAAAAAUAUUUUCUACUAGUAACAUUUCUCUAGCCCGUAAGUGGGUCAGCCAUUUGCCAACUCCCCCACCCCCCCAUCAACUCAGUAUAUGUGCUCAAAAAUUCAAUUUAUUUGAAGAGCAGCAGGAGCAAGAAAAGAAAGGAGAGGGAGAAACGUCUAAAAAAAACUUUGGCGUUGGCCAAACAAAAUUCACUUUGAGCAAAUCAAAUUAAAAUCAAUUAAAAUUAACAAGCAGGCAGCCGGGAAACCGAAAGCUCCCUUAAUACCCAGCCACCCACACCAGUUUGCCCCACUCACUAAUAGACCACCGCCCAUCGCUUUACACUUGGAGAAGAAACUGGCUGUCUUUUCUAAGCACCUCUUCUAUAGAAAAGUAGUAUUCUUAGGUGUUGAUAUGGCCAAAUUGUUUUCAGUGCACGCCUCCGCAGCGCAGCGCAGCGAAAUACCGAGCGCAUGAAUCAUGCAUUUUUCGCCUUUCGCCAGGGCGCUCUUCUUUCUCACCUCUUGUUUUCUGCAUUUGUUGCUUCGGCGGUUAAGGUGCGGCAAUAAGUAAAUUGAGUCGCCGCACGUCCCCUCAAAAAUUCGUUGAUAAGCGCAGACUUUUAGGCAACUCAGCCCCACCAACAGCACAAAAACAUCGGCGAGUAAAUGACACGGCCAAAAUGGGAAAAGGGUAAGAAAGAGACUGGUUGUAUGUACAUUAUGUAUGAGCGAGUCCAGAUGAGCUGCUCGAUUGUUUGCAAAUAUUUACACCACCUUAUCGGCACGUACAAAUGUUCACACAUAUUCACCGAAAGUCAAUUCCGUGCACUGAAAAAAGCAUCCCAAGACUUUCCCCAUCUAAAGAUCUGAAAGCAUUGGGGAUACUUUUUACCAUCAUCAUAACUAUUUUCGGGGCGUUCUUUGAAUUGAAAGAGGACGUAGCCUGUUUAACUAAGGUUUUAGAGACUCAUGCCCUAUAAGAUAUCACCUAUCUUAUCAUACAUGCUUAUGAUAACAGAGGUUCCAAGCUACGAAUGUUGGAAAAGAAAAAUGUUUGGAAUUUCGUAUGAUAAAUACCUAACAUUUUUGAAUAAUAGUUCGUUUAUAAGUACUGGCUAUUGCAAAGUGAUAUAUAAAAUCAUAAUAUAAUAUUUUUCAAAUUUCUGAAAUAUUGUUUUACAGUGCAGCUGCUUUCCGAUCGACCGUAGGCUUUCUGCGUUUUGCCGAGGAGAAUGGAAUGAGCGGAGCAGAGCGCUUGGUGAGUUGAGCUGAGUUGAGUCACCGGGGCGCUUUUAACGGGCCCACUCACCUGGCGCGGCCCACUCACACUCACACACUCGAAAUAAAGGUGUUGAUCAGAGCAGCGCCAACUGAUAGUUGGAUGCUCGUAGAUAAAGUGAAGAUAAAAUGAGCGAUUAAUUGGGAACGUGCUGCGGACUGGCGACUGGCGCCACCUAGCGGUGCAACUGAGGCGUAACCGAGUUGUCUAGCCAAAAUAACUAGCAAGAAAUUAAAUGCCGCUCGACACACUCAAUUUUCCCUAGCACAUCAACACACACACACUUUCCCCUUGUCCCACUUCGCCCACACUUUUGGCCCACAAUGGCAAGGCAAGUAGAAAAUUGUGUUAGAAACAUUUCUAGUUUUUCAUUUUGUGUGUGCGGUGCAGAUCUUGGCUUGUUUUCUCAAUUUUAUUGGCACAAGGUUAGAAAAGAAAACCAAAAAAAGAAGCACAGGCAGAAGACCUAGACAAACAUGGGGCGAUGAAGAAGCGGCAGGCAAGAUGAUGAGGCACAAAUGGCAAAGUUUAUUAUGCCAUGGCUCAUUGUUGUGGUGUAGUAUCUAGUAUGUGGCCCGAACUGAAGACCCAAAGUGCAAUGAAACGAAUACGAAUGCAAAUACAGUAGAAAUUCUCAGAAAGACAUACUCACACGCGCACACACAUGUAGGAGUUGUCCCCAAAUGAAUUUGGUGAAAAAUUUCAAAUUGAAUGAAGUGGCUGGCUGGCAGGUAAAACGUUUCUUUUAUGCAAUUUUAAUUGAAACUGAGCAAGAGUCUUUGGCCACAACUUUGUAAAUUGGGGUACGAUAAGAUCGAAUCUGUUGCCUUAUCGAAAUGCAUCCGAUUUUAUAUUUUCAUCUCAAUCAAAAAAAAUAUUAAUAUUUAAUAAUAAAUAUUAUUAAAUAUAUAUAAAGUAUAAUCAUGAGUUAAUUUAGAGGUACAUAUUAUAGCUCUACAAAGAUUUUUGAGCCGAAACCAAGGAGACUUCCAUUAUGAAAUGCUGACGAGUUAGUUUGCCCUCAGAAAAUAAGUUUUGAAUUGGGCAGUGAAUUGUAUAGAAAUGUAAUGCCUGAAAAUAUAGUUAUACAUUUAAAUCGCUGACUAGAAAGCUGAAAAUCUCAAGCGCGCGGCGAACGCACACGUGCACAAAGCUUUAGACCGAAAGAGCAAAAGAGAGGGGUAGCAAGAAAAGAAAGAGAGCGCGGCUAGACGCGCUCAGCUGAGCACAUGACGCUUUUAAAGCGCGACUUGAGGCGUGGGCGACUUUGACAGCUGCUGCUCACGUCAUAGUUGCCUCUACAGACGCUCACACACACAAACACACAGGCGCGUUUGGAUGGCAGAACUACACGGUGCAGAUGCUGUGUUCGGCAUCAGUGUUGGUGACCAUACAAUUUUUUGUGUGGUCCGCCUCUUUGUGUGGGUGGCGCUUACAAGGCUGUUUGCUGCACAUUCACAAAGGCCCGAAAGCAGCGGCCAAAGCAGAAGGCAGCUGUUGCUUUUGUUUGGCAGCCCAACAAAAUGUUUUUUAGAAAACCGCUGCCACUGCCGCUGCUCACGCCCCCACCACCACCGCCACGCCCCCUCCGAACCGCCCACGCACAGUGGGAACAACCUUGCGAAGGGCAAACAAUUACAAGAGAGCAUAAAGCAGAAAUGGAAACUACAGAGGCGCAUCCACGGAGGUGACUUCUGGGAAAUUUCACACUAAGAGGUCUGAAACCAAUUAAAAGGGAGUUCAAAAGUAUGCUACAUUUAUUCGCUGUAGCCUGACAGUUGCAUUACUGUGGGUAAUUCUUAAAAACUUAUUCUUUAUGUGCAGUUUACUAUAUUAUAUUGUAUGUAUGUAUACUCUUAAGUAAGAUGUAACUCGAAAUCUUUGAAUGGCUUUCCUAUACUGAAGUACUACUGUACUAAUGCGCUUUGCAGUGAAAUGCAAAAAUGUCGACACAGCAACGCCCGCAACUGACAA